CUCCCCCCUUCUCUGACGCUUCUUCAUCGUUCCAGGUCACAGGAGCUUCCAAGAUGCACUGGAAAUUUCCAUUAAACUUAAUGGGGGGUGCCCAAGAGCAACAGCCUCAGUCAGAUUAUGAGGAGGCUCCACAACCCUGGUAUGCGUCAUCAGCAAACUCAUCUUCACGCCCCUCCACGCCGCCAACUUCUUCUGGUGUUAGUGCACAUGGG
rnacentral:misc_RNA from 1 species